GUAACUGAUGCCUGAUGAACACAAGAUGGGAACAAGUAAAAAAAUUGAAGAACGGGCAAGAAGACUUUCAAUAUGUUUCAUAACUUCAAAAUUUGAGCACAUAAAGAAGGGUGAGAAGUACACAUGAUUGAAGGAAAUGAAUAGAGCAUCUAUUCUACAGUUCUAACUAAGGGUGAAAACUUGGAUUUUCUACAAAGUGCAGCAGAUUUGAUUACUUGGU
rnacentral:lncRNA from 1 species